AGCAUACCAAGUAUCACACACCUGGCACAAAGUCCCGCACACCCGACCCCGGCCGGUUGGUAGACAUUCAGGCGACAGGGGGUACCUUACCAGGGGACACCGCCAUACCACCACGUCACAGAUGAAGGCUGCGGAAGCAAGGUAGCCGAAACUUGUCAGAUACAUUCGUGAUGGCGUCAGUUUGCCGUGGUGCGUUCAGGGACACUUGGCAGUCCGACUUGUACGUCCCCACAUGUACUGAGUGCUGGAAUAAAAGAUGUUCUCAGGGUAAAUUGGUUUCAACAAUUCCUCACCAAAACGUCACCGUGGAGUUGUUGAGUCCGUCCUUGACCAUGGCUUCUGUUUUGUUUGAUCGGCCGUUUUACUGCCUUGUUGCAAGCACCGUUUGGAAACAAUUAAGGAAAUAUCACGCUUGGGUCGCAUUUGUAUGCGCGGAUCGUUCUUCCGAGAUGCAGCAGGAACUCCGCAUGCAAGGUGCAGG